CUCCCCGUGCCCGCCCCUCCGCGAGGCAGCAGAAAGCGCCCGGCCGGGGCCUCUCUCUACUCCAUCUUGCCACAGUUGUCUGAGAAGCCAGAAAAAGUUUCCAGAACUGGCAGCCCUUAAAAAAAAUGAAGAGGAAGAGAAGAAAUGGGAGCAGGCAGCCCUCGUCAGCAGACCGGGAGCCGCGUGGGCGCGGAGCCAUUUGCAUUCCGGUCUGCGGGGGCUCGGGGAUGCUGGUGACAGGCCCGGUUCCCGGUGGCUCGCCCCCACCUGCGGGCGUCGGGAAGGAUCCCUUCCAUCUCUCAGCCGCAGAGGAGGCCCUGGCAGCGCCCCGGCUGUAGCCAUGCAACCCCGAGGAGUCCCGGGCACCUUCACCCCACCGGGAGGGGCCACAAGGACCUGGGCCUCGGCCACCAAGCUUUGUCCCCUCUCGCUGUGGGGGGCUAGUGAUUCUCCUCCGACCUGACGAUUGCUUGGUUUUUUCAAAAGGGAGUUUUGUGCGGUGAGAAGUGUGUUUCUGUGUGGCUAACUCUGGGCUAGCGUGCCGUGGCCAUUGAAGGUGUGGCCUGCGUGGGUGCAGUGUAAGUGACGCUGGAUUGUCAGGUGGCAGCAGGGGACCCCUGCUGUGUCAGUGCUAAUGAAACAUGUUGGUUGGUUUCUAAAAUAAAGCCAAACAAGCCAGCACAUGCAGAGGCUUGGACCCUGAUAGA
rnacentral:lncRNA from 1 species